UGGGGAAUUUUGCACAAUGGGGGAAACCCUGAUGCAGCGACGCCGCGUGAUUUAGAAGGCCUUCGGGUUGUAAAAAUCUUUUCUAUGGGAAGAAAAUGACAGUACCAUAGGAAUAAGGACCGGCUAAUUACGUGCCAGCAGCCGCGGUAAUACGUAAGGUCCGAGCGUUGUCCGGAAUCAUUGGGCGUAAAGGGUACGUAGGCGGGUAAGCAAGUUAGAAGUGAAAUCCUAUAGCUCAACUAUAGUAAGCUUUUAAAACUGCUCAUCUUGAGGUAUGGAAGGGAAAGUGGAAUUCCUAGUGUAGCGGUGAAAUGCGCAGAUAUUAGGAGGAAUACCGGUGGCGAAGGCGACGUUCUGGCCGUAACCUGACGCUGAGGUACGAAAGCGUGGGUAGCAAACAGG
rnacentral:rRNA from 1 species